rnacentral:rRNA from 1 species
UUCUGGCAUCGAUGAAGAACGCAUCUGAAUGCGAUAAAUAAUGUGAAUUGCAGAAUUCAGUGAAGCAUCUUAUCUAUGAACGCGCAUUGCGCCCGCCAUCAUUCUGGCGGGCAUGCCUGUUCGAGCUGGAUUUCAAGCAUGAAGCCCCCGGGCUUGUG